rnacentral:rRNA from 1 species
AACGAACGCUGGCGGCAGGCCUAACACAUGCAAGUCGAGCGCCCCGCAAGGGGAGCGGCGGACGGGUGAGUAACGCGUGGGAACGUACCCUUGCUACGGAAUAGCCUCGGGAAACUGGGAGUAAUACCGUAUGUGCCCUUCGGGGGAAAGAUUUAUCGGCAAAGGAUCGGCCCGCGUUGGAUUAGGUAGUUGGUGGGGUAAUGGCCUACCAAGCCGACGAUCCAUAGCUGGUUUGAGAGGAUGAUCAGCCACACUGGGACUGAGACACGGCCCAGACUCCUACGGGAGGCAGCAGUGGGGAAUCUUAGACAAUGGGCGCAAGCCUGAUCUAGCCAUACCGCGUGAGCGAUGAAGGCCUUAGGGUUGUAAAGCUCUUUCAGUGGGGAAGAUAAUGACUGUACCCACAGAAGAAGCCCCGGCUAACUCCGUG